rnacentral:misc_RNA from 1 species
GAUGAAGAACGUAGCGAAAUGCGAUACGUAGUGUGAAUUGCAGAAUUCCGUGAACCAUCAAAUCUUUGAACGCAUAUUUCGCUCGAGGCUUCGGCCGAGAGCAUGUCUGCCUCAGCGUCGGUAUUACCCCUCGCUUCUCAACCCCUGGUUGAUGCCUGCCUGCCUUUGCAGUUGGCUAGAAGCGGAUCUGGCUUUCCCAAUUGCCUUUGGUAGUUGGGUCAGCUGAAGCACAGAGGCUUGAGCAAGGACCCUUAUUGGGCUUCAACUGGAUAGGUAGAACUGGUCUUAGGACCAACUACACGAAGUUGUUGCUUGUGGUCUUUGUCUGGAGGCCAGCAGGAAACCUUUAUACCUUCGACCUGAGCUCAGGCAAGAUUACCCGCUGAACUUAAGCAUAUCAAUAAGCGGAGGA